UUUGUCCUACGGGGGGCAGCAGUGAGGAAUAUUGGUCAAUGGACGCAAGUCUGAACCAGCCAUGCCGCGUGCAGGAAGACGGCUCUAUGAGUUGUAAACUGCUUUUGUACGAGGGUAAACGCAGAUACGUGUAUCUGUCUGAAAGUAUCGUACGAAUAAGGAUCGGCUAACUCCGUGUCAGCAGCCGCGGUAAUACGGAGGAUUCAAGCGUUAUCCGGAUUUAUUGGGUUUAAAGGGUGCGUAGGCGGUUUGAUAAGUUAGAGUUGAAAUGUCGGG
rnacentral:rRNA from 1 species